rnacentral:rRNA from 1 species
GUGAGGAAUAUUGGUCAAUGGGCGCAAGCCUGAACCAGCCAUCCCGCGUGCAGGAAGACGGCGCUAUGCGUUGUAAACUGCUUUUCCAGGGAGAGAAACUUGCGCACGUGUUGCGCAAUUGACGGUACCCUGGGAAUAAGCAUCGGCUAACUCCGUGCCAGCAGCCGCGGUAAUACGGAGGAUGCGAGCGUUAUCCGGAUUCAUUGGGUUUAAAGGGUGCGUAGGCGGACUAUUAAGUCAGUGGUGAAAUCCUGCAGCUUAACUGCAGAACUGCCAUUGAUACUGAUAGCCUUGAGUUUGGUUAAGGUAGGCGGAAUGUGUAAUGUAGCGGUGAAAUGCUUAGAUAUUACACAGAACACCAAUUGCGUAGGCAGCUUACUGAGCCGACACUGACGCUGAGGCACGAAAGCGUGGGGAUCGAACAGGAUUAGAAACCCCUGUAGCC